rnacentral:rRNA from 1 species
AGCAGCCGCGGUAAUUCCAGCUCCAAUAGCGUAUAUUAAAGUUGUUGCAGUUAAAAGCUCGUAGUUGAAUUUUGGAUUCUUCCAAUUGGUCCAUCUUUUAGAUGAGUACUGGUUGUGUGGGGUCUAUCCGCCUGGUGAUACGUAAUGUCCUUUAUUGGAUGUUGCGGGUAGUCAGGACCUUUACCUUGAAAAAUUAGAGUGUUUAAAGCAGGCUUAUGUCGGAAUACAUUAGCAUGGAAUAAUAGAAUAGGACGAAGUUGUUUUAUUUUGUUGGUUUCUAGGACAACCGUAAUGAUUAAUAGGGAUAGUUGGGGGCAUUAGUAUUCAAUUGUCAGAGGUGAAAUUCUUGGAUUUAUUGAAGACUAACUACUGCGAAAGCAUUUGCCAAGGAUGUUUUCAUUAAUCAAGAACGAAAGUUAGGGGAUCGAAGACGAUCAGAUACCGUCGUAG